rnacentral:pre_miRNA from 1 species
GGAUCAUUGCUGGCUCUUGAUGGAGCUUUUUUUCAGUUCAACUCUGGCUGGACUGGAGCUGGAGCUGCUGCUGAAUCAUGCAUUCGCCUACUCUGUCCUAGAUUACAAGGGCAAAGUAGUUGCAUGCCUGAAGCAGGAGUUGCACCUACCUCCUAUUUGGCCCGACUUGGACUGAAGGGAGCUCCCUCGCCUGCUGUCUUGAUCU